rnacentral:rRNA from 1 species
UACGUAGGGGGCAAGCGUUGUCCGGAAUCAUUGGGCGUAAAGAGCGCGUAGGCGGUCCGGUAAGUCAGCUGUGAAAGUCAGGGGCUCAACCCUUGAAAGCCGGUUGAUACUGUCGGGCUAGAGUCCGGAAGAGGCGAGUGGAAUUCCUGGUGUAGCGGUGAAAUGCGCAGAUAUCAGGAGGAACACCAAUUGCGAAGGCAGCUCGCUGGGACGUUACUGACGCUGAGACGCGAAAGCGUGGGGAGCGAACAGG